ensembl:lncRNA
AACCAGGCCCCAGUUUCAUUUUUAACUGGGCACUUUUUGCCUCAUAUAAUCACAGCACCGAUGCGCAGUCAUUUAAGCCAAUUAUCUAUCGUGUUUUAUGCAAAGAAAUCAGGUUGUGAACUCCGGUAAUGAGCUCGAUUUUAUGCCAAAUUUAGACCUCAUUACUAUUUUCCAAGGCGUGGCAAAGCUGUUAAAAGGGACGCGACCAUGCAUUUCGAACAUACUGUCCUAUUAUAUACCAUUAAUGAUGAUUCUCUAAUGGCGUGCUGGCUGUGAAACAUGAUGCUUAGACGAGGGAAAAAAGGAGAGAAUGCUGCUGUGUGUUCGCACACGGGAUGAGACUGCUGCUCUGCUCUGCUGGUGUCGCAGGAAGCAGCUCUAACUCUUCCAACUUCUGCAGGAAUACGAGGCCCACAUUUGCAACCAUUCGAAUCGCAAAUGCAGGUGCGGGAAGAUUCGGUCCCGAAGAAGCUGUGGACCAAACAGGAGGAGGCACCUGCCGCAUGGACCGCUGCGUGAGCGCUGUAUGUCAGAGAGCAGAGUGACACGAAGACCUGUUGAUGAUCAACAUACUCCCAAGAUCACUGAAGGAUUACUAAGUGUCCCAAAUGCUGCUGCGAGCCGUUAACUUAAGAAGAAAACAACAAAAAACACCCAGCCACAUAAAUACAAUAAACGCACAUUUUUUAAAAGCUAUUUUGCUUUAGUUUAGGCUAUAGAGACAAGGUGCAGCUAAAUAUUUAUAUUCUAAAGACUCUCUCUUUAGAAUGUAGACAAACGUUUAUUUAGGACACUCACUAAGGACCUGAUGGCCGUUAAACUGUCACGCAAACUGAAAACGUCACCUACUUCUCUGGCGAGACUGCGCACUUGAGCCCACAUGGGACGUCGCUGCAGCACAUAUUCUCAACCUGCAGUAAUCCAAAGAAUCAAAAACCCAACUGAGGUUUUUCAUCCUCCGUUUUGAAUCCUGGAAAAUAUAGUACAGGUCCCUGAUUUUCCAUCAUUUGGCCCUUUCAACCUUCAUGUUAAGUGGAGUUAUAAAACGGUCUUGCACACGUUGUAAAGCACCCUGGAUAAAGUGGCUGAAGGUGAUUUACCACUAUUUUUCUGCACUUCCCGGGCUGUUUUUCUGUUUCUCCGUGGAGUUCCUCUGGGACAGAUUACAUGUGUAAUUUUCAGCUGUGAGAUGGUUUAAGUGUCCUCCCACCCCCCCCAACAUAAAUAAAACAUUUCUACGAAGAAGGGGGAAAAGGGAAAAACAUGAACAUAGAGUGAUGAACUAUGAAGUCCUGGGAGGCCAGGGCCUGACGUAGGGAGGACUCGAGGAAUCAGAUUCAGUGGCAAGUAAGAAUUAACCUUUUUACAAAUAGAUGUAUCGUUAAAAUGGUUUUAACACACAAAAUAAAACACAGCCAAAUGCUUAAAAUGAUUUAACUUACAAAUAUCUUAGCUCUUUUGGCAAUCUAAAUGACUGGAUGACACAACGUACGCACACGAGCAGCGCUUCCCUGCAAGCACCUUGACUCCGUGAAAGGCGCUGCUCAUUGACCAAUCUGCUCUGACAGCAGUGUGGCGUGAGCUUCUGACCCGGUGACUGCAAAGGGUCUGUGUUCAGUGGCCAUGUAAGGGCUCACUGACACCCACGCUGGGGGUUCCAACCAAGCCCUCGAGGAGGGGAUGUGCAUAUGCACUUAAACACACACACACACACACGCACGCACACAAGUAUGCACACGUAUGCAUGGGAGGGACUUCGACGUUGUUGCCAACAGCCCCUCAGGUUUGCACGGCUACAGAGCAGUAAGCAUGUCUCCUAUUCUUGAAAUGAAGACACCAGCCGCUUCUUCUUUCAGGAUGAGACUGUGAGACCAGCCGCUUCUUUCCACAGGUCUGACGCCCCUCCUCCCUGUCCAGCAGGGAGGAGGGGCACUGAGCCGUCUGAGUGUUUAUUUACAUUUGCCCUUUUUAAAUGAUCCCUUUCUUCUCAACAUCUGCUUCACAUUACCACACAGAUAUCUGUCCUAAUGACUGCUGUAAUGUCCACACACACACACACGCGCACACACACCCACACACACACACACACACACACACACACACACACACUUGCUCUGGCAUUCACACAUUCGCUUCCUGUAAUGUUACCAUUAGCUACCAUUCAUCAGGGACAUUUUAACCUCACCGAACCACGCUGCACAACAAAUAGACCUUCUCCCG